rnacentral:piRNA from 1 species
ACGGCAUCAUAUUGAACAGCU